CUGGAAUAUGCUGAAAAUCCUAAAAAGAGUAGGCA
rnacentral:ncRNA from 1 species